CUCGCGUCCUCUACCGGUCACCCGCGACCGUCCCCUAAGCUAGGGUUUCGGCCACCGCGUCGCCGGCGUGGCUCCGGCGGCUCAGAUCGAGCACGCCAAUGUCGCCGUCGUUUCGCUUGCGCUGGAACAGCAAAGGGAAGGCCAUGGACGACGCCGCUCCAGCCCUUCUCCGACGCCAUCAAGCAGUAGCAGCAACUC